rnacentral:rRNA from 1 species
GUGGAUUAGAUACCCUGGUAGUCCACGCCGUAAACGAUGGGUGCUAGGUGUCGCGGGCUUUGACCCCUGCGGUGCCGUAGCUAACGCAUUAAGCACCCCGCCUGGGGAGUACGGCCGCAAGGCUAAAACUCAAAGGAAUUGACGGGGGCCCGCACAAGCGGUGGAGCAUGUGGUUCAAUUCGACGCAACGCGCAGAACCUUACCUGGGCUAGAAAAUGCAGGGACCUGGUUGAAAAAUCGGGGUGCUCUUCGGAGAACCUGUAGUUAGGUGCUGCAUGGCCGUCGCCAGCU